UACGAAGGGGGCUAGCGUUGUUCGGAAUCACUGGGCGUAAAGCGCACGUAGGCGGAUUUUUAAGUCAGGGGUGAAAUCCUGGGGCUCAACCUCGGAACUGCCUUUGAUACUGGAGAUCUUGAGUCCGGAAGAGGUAAGUGGAACUGCGAGUGUAGAGGUGAAAUUCGUAGAUAUUGGGAAGAACACCGGUGGCGAAGGCGGCUCACUGGCCCGUAACUGACGCUCAUGCACGACAGCGUGGGGAUCAAACAGG
rnacentral:rRNA from 1 species